rnacentral:misc_RNA from 1 species
AUAAGUAGUGGAAUGCAGAUUCAGGAAUCAUCGAUCUUGAACGCACAUGCGCCCUUGGUAUUCCAUGGGCAUGCCUGUCGAGCGUCAUUGUACCUUCAAGCCUGCUUGGUGUUGGGGUUUGUCUCGCCUCUGCGCGCAGACUCGCCUCAAAACAAUUGGCAGCCGGCGUAUUGAUUUCGGAGCGCAGUACAUCUCGCGCUUUGCACUCAUAACGACGACGUCCAAAAAGUACAUUUUUACACUCUUGACCUCGGAUCAGGUAGGGAUACCCGCUGAACUUAAGCAUAUCAAUAAGCGGAGGAAAAGAAACCAACAGGGAUUGCCCUAGUAACGGCGAGUGAAGCGGCAACAGCUCAAAUUUGAAAUCUGGCGUCUUUGGCGUCCGAGUUGUAAUUUGCAGAGGGCGCUUUGGCAUUGGCAGCGGUCCAAGUUCCUUGGAACAGGACGUCACAGAGGGUGAGAAUCCCGUACGUGGUCGCUAGCCUUUACCGUGUAAAGCCCCUUCGACGAGUCGAGUUGUUUGGGAAUGCAGCUCUAAAUGGGAGGUAAAUUUCUUCUAAAGCUAAAUACUGGCCAGAGACCGAUAGCGCACAAGUAGAGUGAUCGAAAGAUGAAAAGCACUUUGGAAAGAGAGUUAAAAAGCACGUGAAAUUGUUGAAAGGGAAGCGCUUGCAGCCAGACUUGCCUGUAGUUGCUCAUCCGGGUUUUUACCCGGUGCACUCUUCUAUAGGCAGGCCAGCAUCAGUUUGGGCGGUUGGAUAAAGGUCUCUGUCAUGUACCUCCUCUCGGGGAGAACUUAUAGGGGAGACGACAUGCAACCAGCCUGGACUGAGGUCCGCGCAUCUGCUAGGAUGCUGGCGUAAUGGCUGUAAGCGGCCCGUCUUGAAACACGGACCAAGGAGUCUAACAUCUAUGCGAGUGUUUGGGUGUCAAGCCCGAACGCGUAAUGAAAGUGAACGGAGGUGGGAACCUUUCGGGGUGCACCAUCGACCGAUCCUGAUGUCUUCGGAUGGAUUUGAGUAAGAGCAUAGCUGUUGGGACCCGAAAGAUGGUGAACUAUGCUUGAAUAGGGUGAAGCCAGAGGAAACUCUGGUGGAGGCUCGCAGCGGUUCUGACGUGCAAAUCGAUCGUCAAAUUUGGGCAUAGGGGCGAAAGACUAAUCG